rnacentral:rRNA from 1 species
GAUGAACGCUGGCGGCGUGCCUAAUACAUGCAAGUCGAGCGAACGGACGAGAAGCUUGCUUCUCUGAUGUUAGCGGCGGACGGGUGAGUAACACGUGGAUAACCUACCUAUAAGACUGGGAUAACUUCGGGAAACCGGAGCUAAUACCGGAUACUAUUUUGCACCGCAUUGUUCAAAAGUGAAAGACGGUCUUGCUGUCACUUAUAGAUGGAUCCGCGCUGCAUUAGCUAGUUGGUAAGGUAACGGCUUACCAAGGCAACGAUGCAUAGCCGACCUGAGAGGGUGAUCGGCCACACUGGAACUGAGACACGGUCCAGACUCCUACGGGAGGGAGCAGUAGGGAAUGGUACGCAAUGGGCGAAAGCCUGACGGAGCAACGCCACGUGAGUGAUGAAGGUCUUCGGAUCGUAAAACUCUGUUAUGAGGGAAGAACAUAUGUGUAAGUAACUGAGCACAUCUUGACGGUACCUAAUAAGAAAGCCACGGCUAACUACGUG